AGGGUUUGAUCCUGGCUCAGAAUGAACGCUGGCGGCGUGCUUAACACAUGCAAGUCGAACGAGAACGGGAUUGCUUGCAAUCCUUAUUAAAGUGGCGCACGGGUGAGUAACACGUGGAUAACCUACCAGAUGUUCCGGAACAACAUUGCGAAAGCGAUGCUAAUACCGGAUGAUGUUUAGUUGACUUCGGUUGAUUAAAUGAAAGACUGCCUCUACUUGUAAGCAGGUGACAUUAGAUGGGUCCGCGUACCAUUAGCUAGCUGGUGGGGUAAUGGCCUACCAGGGCGACGAUGGUUAGCUGGUCUGAGAGGAUGAUCAGCCACACUGGAACUGACACACGGUCCAGACUCCUACGGGAGGCAGCAGUGAGGAAUUUUGCGCAAUGGGGGCAACCCUGACGCAGCAACGCCGCGUGAGUGAUGAAGGCUUUUGGGUCGUAAAGCUCUGUCAGCAGGGAAGAAUGGGUUGAGUAUUAAUAGUAUUUGACUUUGACGGUACCUGCAAAGGAAGCACCGGCUAACUCCGUGCCAGCAGCCGCGGUAACACGGGGGGUGCAAGCGUUAUUCGGAAUUAUUGGGCGUAAAGCGCACGCAGGCGGUGUGGUCAGUCAGAUGUGAAAGCCCGGGGCUCAACCCCGGAAGUGCAUUUGAAACAGCCACACUUGAGUACUGGAGAGGAAAGGGGAAUUCCUGGUGUAGAGGUGAAAUUCGUAGAUAUCAGGAGGAACACCGGUGGCGAAGGCGCCUUUCUGGACAGAUACUGACGCUGAGGUGCGAAGGUGUGGGUAGCGAACAGGAUUAGAUACCCUGGUAGUCCACACAGUAAACGUUGUUCACUAGGUGCAGCGGGUAUUAACUCCUGCUGUGCCGCAGCUAACGCAUUAAGUGAACCGCCUGGGGAGUACGGUCGCAAGACUAAAACUCAAAGGAAUUGACGGGGGCCCGCACAAGCGGUGGAGCAUGUGGUUUAAUUCGAUGCAACGCGCAGAACCUUACCUAGGCUUGACAUCUUGAGAAUCUCUUAGAAACAAGAGAGUGCCCUUCGGGGAAUUCAAAGACAGGUGCUGCAUGGCUGUCGUCAGCUCGUGUCGUGAGAUGUUCGGUUAAGUCCGGCAACGAGCGCAACCCUUGUCUUCAGUUGCCAGCACGUAAUGGUGGGAACUCUGAAGAUACUGCCCCGGUUAACGGGGAGGAAGGUGGGGAUGACGUCAAGUCCUCAUGGCCCUUAUGCCUAGGGCUACACACGUGCUACAAUGGCAGGUACAAAGAGCAGCGAGCCAGCGAUGGUUAGCGAAUCUCGUAAAGCCUGCCUCAGUUCGGAUUGGAGUCUGCAACUCGACUCCAUGAAGUUGGAAUCGCUAGUAAUCGCGGAUCAGCAUGCCGCGGUGAAUACGUUCCCGGGCCUUGUACACACCGCCCGUCACACCAUGAGAGUUGAUUGUACCCGAAGUAGGUGAGCCAACCUUUUGGAGGCAGCCGACCACGGUAAGGUCAGCGACUGGGGUGAAGUCGUAAGCAAGGUAGCCG
rnacentral:rRNA from 1 species